GACGAACGCUGGCGGCGUGCUUAACACAUGCAAGUCGAACGGAAAGGCCCUGCUUUUGUGGGGUGCUCGAGUGGCGAACGGGUGAGUAACACGUGAGUAACCUGCCCUUGACUUUGGGAUAACUUCAGGAAACUGGGGCUAAUACCGGAUAGGAGCUCCUGCUGCAUGGUGGGGGUUGGAAAGUUUCGGCGGUUGGGGAUGGACUCGCGGCUUAUCAGCUUGUUGGUGGGGUAGUGGCUUACCAAGGCUUUGACGGGUAGCCGGCCUGAGAGGGUGACCGGCCACAUUGGGACUGAGAUACGGCCCAGACUCCUACGGGAGGCAGCAGUGGGGAAUAUUGCACAAUGGGCGGAAGCCUGAUGCAGCAACGCCGCGUGCGGGAUGACGGCCUUCGGGUUGUAAACCGCUUUCGCCUGUGACGAAGCGUGAGUGACGGUAAUGGGUAAAGAAGCACCGGCUAACUACGUGCCAACAGCCGCGGUGAUACGUAGGGUGCGAGCGUUGUCCGGAUUUAUUGGGCGUAAAGGGCUCGUAGGUGGUUGAUCGCGUCGGAAGUGUAAUCUUGGGGCUUAACCCUGAGCGUGCUUUCGAUACGGGUUGACUUGAGGAAGGUAGGGGAGAAUGGAAUUCCUGGUGGAGCGGUGGAAUGCGCAGAUAUCAGGAGGAACACCAGUGGCGAAGGCGGUUCUCUGGGCCUUUCCUGACGCUGAGGAGCGAAAGCGUGGGGAGCGAACAGGCUUAGAUACCCUGGUAGUCCACGCUGUAAACGGUGGGUACUAGGUGUGGGGUCCAUUCCACGGGUUCCGUGCCGUAGCUAACGCUUUAAGUACCCCGCCUGGGGAGUACGGCCGCAAGGCUAAAACUCAAAGGAAUUGACGGGGCCCCGCACAAGCGGCGGAGCAUGCGGAUUAAUUCGAUGCAACGCGUAGAACCUUACCUGGGUUUGACAUGGAUCGGGAGCGCUCAGAGAUGGGUGUGCCUCUUUUGGGGUCGGUUCACAGGUGGUGCAUGGCUGUCGUCAGCUCGUGUCGUGAGAUGUUGGGUUAAGUCCCGCAACGAGCGCAACCCUUGUUCACUGUUGCCAGCACGUUAUGGUGGGGACUCAGUGGAGACCGCCGGGGUCAACUCGGAGGAAGGUGGGGAUGACGUCAAGUCAUCAUGCCCCUUAUGUCCAGGGCUUCACGCAUGCUACAAUGGCUGGUACAGAGAGUGGCGAGCCUGUGAGGGUGAGCGAAUCUCGGAAAGCCGGUCUCAGUUCGGAUUGGGGUCUGCAACUCGACCUCAUGAAGUCGGAGUCGCUAGUAAUCGCAGAUCAGCAACGCUGCGGUGAAUACGUUCCCGGG
rnacentral:rRNA from 1 species